rnacentral:rRNA from 1 species
AGAACCUGAAACCGUGUACGUACAAGCAGUGGGAGCCCCACCACCAAAACACUUCCGGGCCGAAAGGCGAUGCGGAUGUCGAGGUGAGGGUUGUCAUCGCGUUUUUUGCGAUGACCAACACACAAAACAAGCAGUGAGUGUUUUGGGGUGGGGUGACUGCGUACCUUUUGUAUAAUGGGUCAGCGACUUAUAUUCUGUAGCAAGGUUAACCGCAUAGGGGAGCCGCAGGGAAACCGAGUCUUAACUGGGCGUCAAGUUGCAGGGUAUAGACCCGAAACCCGGUGAUCUAGCCAUGGGCAGGUUGAAGGUUGGGUAACACUAACUGGAGGACCGAACCGACUAAUGUUGAAAAAUUAGCGGAUGACUUGUGGCUGGGGGUGAAAGGCCAAUCAAACCGGGAGAUAGCUGGUUCUCCCCGAAAGCUAUUUAGGUAGCGCCUCGUGAAUUCAUCUGCGGGGGUAGAGCACUGUUUCGACUAGGGGGUCAUCCCGACUUACCAACUCGAUGCAAACUGCGAAUACCGUAGAAUGUUAUCACGGGAGACACACGGCGGGUGCUAACGUCCGUCGUGAAGAGGGAAACAACCCAGACCGCCAGCUAAGGUCCCAAAGUCAUGGUUAAGUGGGAAACGAUGUGGGAAGGCCCAGACAGCCAGGAUGUUGGCUUAGAAGCAGCCAUCAUUUAAAGAAAGCGUAAUAGCUCACUGGUCGAGUCGGCCUGCGCGGAAGAUGUAACGGGGCUAAACCAUGCACCGAAGCUGCGGCAGCGAACGUAUCACCCAAGACAAUUCAGCGUUGUGGAUAACGAUUGAUGGAGCGAAGCGACAUCAAUGCGUCCUACAAAGUCG